CCAUUUGAAAUUUUUCUGCACCAUACAAAAUUUAAUCCUCAGGCCCAUGUGGUCUGUGGGUGGGUCUUGUUCAGCCCCAACAAAUGAAAGAAGAUUAAUUAACAGAAGCAGCUGCAGCUGGGCCUGGAGGCAGUGGCUCUACAGCAGCAGUGAGAGCCGAGCUGUGGCAGACACAUGCUCUUCCCCUGACUCACGGCUGCCCAGUUCCCUCCAGCGAGGCUGCUGACCUAUUUUUCUAUUAGGAACAACCAGCCAAUGUGAUAAUGAGGAAAAUGUAUUCUGGCCCCUAUGAAGUUUAGUGAAGCCCGAAUGAAGUGGAGGAGGCCACGGAGAUGCACGAGGAAGAGCAUUCCAGGCAGAGGGAACAGCGAGGACAAAAGCCCCCGGGCAGGAAUGGGUGUGCAAGCCUGAGAUCCAACAUGGCGGAGAGCAAGCCGGAAGUGCUGCGCGGGGAUCCUAAGGGAGCACUGAACAGGACAAGCUCAGUUUUGUCCCUCAAACCUCCACAAUCAGUGUCUUCCAGCCCCCUCGUUUCUGAUGAGAAGUUAGCAGCCAUUCCAGGCUUUUCCUUCUGUUGUCUGGCACUGGUGGGUUCUUGGUCUCAUUGACUUCAAGAAUGAAGCCGUGGACCCUUGCGCUAUUUUACAUAAGGAAAGUGGGUGGUGAUUAACCUCAGAGUCUCCAGGGACAGACUAUCCAGGACUGUGCCUGAAAUAGAAGAGGAAUUAACAUCAUACAGAACUGAAUACGGUGACUGAGGGGAGUUUGUGUCUCCCCUUUUAGGAAAGAAGAUGAGAAUAAGUAUGAAGGAGAGUCAUGUACUGUACAUUAAGCAAAAGCAUGAUGCUGUUAUUUGAAAUGUUAAUUAGAGGUGCCCACUAAAAACUGCUCAGCAAUUUUCUUGGAGACCUCAGUGCUCAUGUUAUUCUUUCCUCUAUCUUAUGUUUUCCUCUCUCCUGCCCUUUUCAGAAACAGUCUACAGCAGAAGCCAUUGACCCUGUUCAAAUUACAGAAGAGCCCUUUUUGAAUUUAUGAAAAUCCUGAAAUAUUAAAAUUUAUUAUUUUAAUAUUAAUAUAUUAAAUUAAUAUAUUAAUCUACCCGCCUCGGCCUCCCAAAGUGCUGGUAUUACGGGCAUGAGCCACCGAACCCAGCCUCAUGUUAUGACUUUCCAACCAUAAUUUAGUGUUAACAAAGUAAUCACAAAAGUAAUAUAUUAGUUUGAAAUUAGUAAUGCCCACCAGAUUCAAUCACUAAAAAAUGUGAUAUCAUUAAAAACCAUUUUUCUACAUGUUAACAAGAGCCAACUUCUGUCCCAAGCAGGUUGAAUUAUCACAAUUUCCUGAUAAGCAGAGUCCAGCUUCCUAAUUCAAACUCUCAAACUCAUUGUUAAAUAAGCCCAGAGGAGUUGGACAUUUUCCAUCACGCAUGUGGGAAGAAAGAAGGCCAACGAUGCUCUUCAGAUUUAACAAGUAAACCUUAAAAGUAUCUGUUAAGAAUACAGAGAUGCCCAUGACAACACUAUCACCAGAGCAACAACUAUCAACUAAGACUUGCAGUUUUUGAGGCCUGGUUCUGAAGUGAACUACUCAGCAUUACUUGCAAAGGACAGACCUGCAAAGUGACGUUUUGCUGGCAGAAAUGGAGAAGGAGCUGAGUACAGAUUUCAUGUAAUAAAAGUGAAAUG
rnacentral:lncRNA from 10 species